GAGUUUGAUCCUGGCUCAGGACGAACGCUGGCGGCGCGCCUAACACAUGCAAGUCGAACGAGAGAGAGGGAGCUUGCUUCCUUGAUCGAGUGGCGAACGGGUGAGUAACGCGUGAGGAACCUGCCUCAAAGAGGGGGACAACAGUUGGAAACGACUGCUAAUACCGCAUAAGCCCACGACCCGGCAUCGGGAAGAGGGAAAAGGAGCAAUCCGCUUUGAGAUGGCCUCGCGUCCGAUUAGCUAGUUGGUGAGGUAACGGCCCACCAAGGCGACGAUCGGUAGCCGGACUGAGAGGUUGAACGGCCACAUUGGGACUGAGACACGGCCCAGACUCCUACGGGAGGCAGCAGUGGGGAAUAUUGCACAAUGGGGGAAACCCUGAUGCAGCGACGCCGCGUGGAGGAAGAAGGUCUUCGGAUUGUAAACUCCUGUUGUUGAGGAAGAUAAUGACGGUACUCAACAAGGAAGUGGCGGCUAACUACGUGCCAGCCGCCGCGGUAAUAC
rnacentral:rRNA from 1 species